UUCUCACAGUCACGUCACCUAGUGAGUAGAAAAUUUCCAUCUAGCUACUAGGUGACGUAAACUGACUGGAGGCUCUCUCAAGGCAAAGGACAGUGGGCCGUGAUUCUUAUGUUUAAUUAAGAGUGUACCGACUCUGAGACCGCGUUAAUACCCAGUUAAUUUUAGUCGAAAAAUUAGCCGGAAAGUUGGCUGGUUCUAGUUCAUAUUCCGGCUCCAGUGAAAAAAACCGAUUCUAGAAGCAAUUGUGAUUGGAGCCAAUACUAAUAACUAAACCCAGUCGAAUUCCGGUUGAACUUUACUGGGGUGGAAUCACGUAAGGUGAUAAGUGAUUAUCACCCUGUGGUGAUAAGUUGGUGAUCACCCAAAUCAUAGGAAUCAUCUAAGGUGAUCACCUUGAUUGUCACCGGCUUUGUGAUUGAGCUAACUUCACUCAUUAUCACCCACCCGUCAUCAAAUGUCAGAAUGAAGUACGAAUCACGCGAUGCGCAAGCUUUCGUCAACGAAAUAGAACGUCAACGUCACGUCACCGUUUCGUCAUGAUAAUUUGAAUGCAUUUCUCGUAUACACAUUUACAUGUUACGUACGUCAAGGAUCAGUUCCGAUGAUUAUGUGUCUGAACGUCUCCCUACGAACUGUAUGUCACUAAUUUUGACAUUCCGUUAACGUUCUGUACCGGUGACGAAAGACAUACGGAUUGUGUAGAUGGUACUGAAAAUGUUAAUUGUUUUUUUUUGUGUAGAUGAAAGUUUUUCUUGUCGCGGACAAGAUGUUAGAAAUACGAGAAAUCAUAUCGCGAUAAGAGUUGGGCUGUUGAAUUAAUUGUAAAGUUUGAUUCACAUACAGAGAAUGUAUUGUUCCUUCAAAAGAAGCCAAAUCGACAAAAGGCAUCUGAUGAACGAUGAGCGUGGGCGCAGUUGCAGGAAUCCGGCCCGCUGUCUCACACAGGACGCCCCGCUGGCACUUGUAUCGUGUUCUACAAGCGAAACAAUGAGAAACGAAAGAUACUUUUGGCGGCGGCGCAGAGGGCUAAGCUGAUUGAGGAGUGGGUACCAAAACCGCUUGUAGAAGACGUUCCGGUGGACCAUCCCGCACUGUAUACGCACGUCGUCUACGGAAAGGUUGGCAAACCGAUUAACAUCGAUGGUAAACAGUGCCUCAAUUUGCCGGCUCAUAACUACAGUGGACGUGCAUUUGGAAUUGGAGGAACGUUUGACAAAGUAGAAGGGACGUGCGCGUUUUUCACUAUCGCGAGCGCUAUGCCACCGUAUGCCAAACAAGGCAAUGUUUUUUAAGGUUUGCAUGUAUAGAGAAGUAAAAAAGUAUUUUUCAAACACAAUGACGUAGCUGACCUAGAACGUCUGCCGGAGGAACAAGUUGAAUCCAAAAUUAGCGAUGACCUGUAGGCGGUUUAAGAUGACGGAAGCAAUCUAUACGAAUACGAGAGGUAAAGGCCGUCCGCAUGAAAUGGCAUUGCGAAAAUGCUAUAAUCUUCGGAUGUUUUUCAACGAGGGUCUCAUGGCGUAUGGGUGAUAAUGGACGAGCACUGGUGGAACAUUUCAAUGUAGAUAAAACGGAAGCUAAUCUAUGGUCGGCUAGAUUGGAUUGUGCCGCCGGUACGAUCAGAGGUUUCUGCGCCAGAUUAUCGUGGGACAUCAACAGCUGUCCGGCUUAGGCUAUUGCUUUUCCGUUUCGCUUUCAUCACUACGACUUAGGCUGCCAUCAAUGGGCUCUAUAAGUUCGAAAUCGAGCCAAAAAUCUUUGUCGUAUUUAAGGAAUGCUAUCGAAAGUGUCCCAGUAAGUUUAACUCCGCUGUUCUGGUGGAAUUUGUAUUGCUGAAAACGAUGAAAUCAGCGCCGUUGGUUGUGCUACCAAAGGAGAUGACUUGGUCAGCGUUGUGCUUAAGGAGCGGUUCAUCAAGGUAGAAGAAAUUUCCCGUCGUCUGGCCGUUGUAAUUGCCGAAAUUGCCCGUUUGCUGAUGUACUUCCUUUCGUUCCUGCAUGUGGCCCUCAUCGUCCGUCCCAGCGAUUCCAUUUCAAAGAAUAAACUGAAGGACAAACCAUUCGAUUUCAGUAUGUUGGACACCUAUGACAUUCUGAAUCGGGCUCGGUAUUGGCUUGAACGAAGCGAUUCGGUUCGCACCUUGCAGUACAUGAACUUGAUCAGCUCAUCAUGAAAAGCUGCACUUGAUUGGCACGUAUAAUACUAUUGGAAACCCAACAAGCUACCAACACUCUGAUGCAGGUUCAAGUGGUAUUCGAUUUCUGUGAAAAAUGUCCAAGAUCCUCCCCUUAAGUUGUUCUUUUGUUCACGUAUUCCCAAAUACACGCCAGCAGAAGCAGUUGUAUGAAAAAUCCUGAAAAAUGCAUCGUGGCCAGAAUCCGACACUGACGAGAAUUCUAGAAAACAAACGAUCGUUUGUUUAA